rnacentral:rRNA from 1 species
UACGUAGGCAGCGAGCGUUGUUCGGAAUUACUGGGCGUAAAGAGUGUGUAGGCGGUUCUCUAAGUUCGGUGUGAAAUCUCCUGGCUUAACUGGGAGGGUGCGCCGGAAACUGGAGUGCUUGAGCGUGGGAGAGGAAAGCGGAAUUCCUGGUGUAGCGGUGAAAUGCGUAGAUAUCAGGAGGAACACCUGUGGUGUAGACGGCUUUCUGGACCAUUGCUGACGCUGAGACACGAAAGCGUGGGUAGCAAACAGG